GAUGAACGCUGGCGGCGUGCUUAACACAUGCAAGUCGAACGAAGCAUUUGCGACAGAUUUUUUCGGAAUGAAGUUGCUUAUGACUGAGUGGCGGACGGGUGAGUAACGCGUGGGUAACCUGCCUUGUACUGGGGGAUAGCAGCUGGAAACGGCUGGUAAUACCGCAUAAGCGCACAAUGUUGCAUGACAUGGUGUGAAAAACUCCGGUGGUAUAAGAUGGACCCGCGUCUGAUUAGCUAGUUGGUGAGAUAACAGCCCACCAAGGCGACGAUCAGUAGCCGACCUGGGAGGGUGACCGGCCACAGUGGGACUGAGACACGGCCCAGACUCCUACGGGAGGCAGCAGUGGGGAAUAUUGCACAAUGGAGGAAACUCUGAUGCAGCGACGCCGCGUGAGUGAAGAAGUAAUUCGUUAUGUAAAGCUCUAUCAGCAGGGAAGAUAGUGACGGUACCUGACUAAGAAGCUCCGGCUAAAUACGUG
rnacentral:rRNA from 1 species